UACGUAGGAUGCGAGCGUUAUCCGGAGUUACUGGGUGUAAAGGGAGCGCAGGCGGGACUGCAAGUUGGAUGUGAAAUGCCGCAGCUUAACUGCGGAGCUGCAUCCAAAACUGUAGUUCUUGAGUGGAGUAGAGGCAAGCGGAACUCCGAGUGUAGCGGUGAAAUGCGUAGAUAUUCGGAGGAACACCAGUGGCGAAGGCGGCUUGCUGGGCUCUAACUGACGCUGAGGCUCGAAAGUGUGGGGAGCAAACAGG
rnacentral:rRNA from 1 species